UAGUAUAUAACUAGAUUCAUAAGCUAUGACAUGAAGCUCAUGAUCAUAAUUAAUAACUAUGCAUACAAGGCCCUUCCUAGGACUUCAAUAUUGGGUUCAAACAUCAGGGUCCGGUUUGUCCACUCCAUCCACAGUCCUCAACCAGUAAGUCUGGCCAAAGCAGGCUGCACCAUCCGGGACAUCGUCUAUCACAUGGUCAUGCCCUUUGGGGAAAUAUAUCCCAGUCCGAGGGUGCGGCACCCAGCUGGACGAUGAGCCGUCACCCUUAUUAUCAGCAUCAUCCGUCCGUCCUCUAGCUUUCCCCGGCGCCCCCUCAGCCCCAGCUACCUUACUCAAGCCCCGCCACACCAGCGUUGCUUCCCUGCAUGAACUGGCAUUGCCUUAAAAUUUUUGUGUGAAAAGAUGCUUCAUAUGUACAAGAAAUCUAGACCAUCCCAUUAGCAUAAAAACGCAAACCAGUGACCCAAAGUGGAGUUACCUAAGAAAUAACAUCCGUGUUUUGGCUACACCACUUCUAGCCAUGGCCUGAUGAGCAGCGAAGGUGUAAGCCCAGAGCUGGGUUUGUUGCCAAGGGUGUGGAGUCCUGAGUCUCCUGACCCCUUUUUAUGCUCUAAAAAUGACACAUUUUUGCUGCAUAACAGCGGCGCUACAGAAUCGAUUCUCACGGUACAGUUUUCGCGCAGAUUACCUGAUACAAAUGAAAAAUACACAUUCUAAAGGAAAAGUGAAUUUCAGCUCCUUUUCCAUUUGGGUAAGAUGAGGGGUGAAAAGUACUGUGGUUUUGAACCUUAUUCUUGUUUGUCCUUUAUCGGGGGUACCCUCCAUUAAAUGGACUAAAGAAAAUGCCAUUGUCAGUGUGAUUUGUUGAUGAUCUCGGUUGAGUACAUUGAGAAUAUAUGGAUUUUGCAAAGGAAUGGUGAGAUGCGGGCUGAUGUUUGUAUGUUCAAUGUGCUCCAUGACUGUCACAUAGCUUGUAAUUGAAGUCCAAAAUUCCCAUUCAGGUACUCCCAAAAGGAUGAAAAAUUCAAGGCCAAGGAAAAAAAAAAAGUAAUGCUAAAAAAUCGAAACAUGACAAAACACUUUACAAAUGUUAAUGUUAGUGUAUUUACGUGUGUCUUACGUGGGAAAUAGAAUGAGUUUAGAGUUGAGUCAUAAUAUAGAAGAAUCAAAAUUUUAAUAGAAGUGGCAUUUAAAAUUUGGAUAGAAGUAGGUUUUUAUUCCCUAAUUUUAAAAAAAUAUAAAAAGGGGAAUUUCAAUUUUUAUAAAUUAAUUUUAUCUUAUAUGCGUUUUUUCAUAAGUCAAAUAAUUAUUUUUUAAAAUACCAUUUUACUUUUUGAUAUUAAAUAAAAUCAUCAAAAAAAUAAUUUAUUAUUUUAAUUUGAUAAAAAUAUUUUACAAAUCAAUAUAUUAUAAAUUUUUUAUUAUAUAAUAUGAGAUACAAAUCAAUAAAAUAAAAAAAUUUAAAAUUUAAGAAUAUAAUUAAAAUUAAAAUACUUAAAAAUUAAAUAAAAUUAAAAAAUUUUAAAAAUAAAAUAUUGACUCUCAUUAUAUUUUCAAUUCUUUCUCGAAUCUAAAUUUUAACUAGUAUGAUUUUGCAAAGUAAAAGUUAAUAUUUUAUUUUUAUAUUUUUACCUUUAAAGUUGUUUUAUUUUUAAUUGUAUUUUAUAAUUUUAUAAUUUUUCUCUUUUAUUGAGCUCAAAUAAAUUUUUACCAUGAAAAAAAAUUGUCAAUUAAUGUUAAUAACCUGACAAGUAAACUAUCAUUUUAAGAAAUAAUUAUCUCACUUGUAAAAAUAUAUAUAUAUAUAUAUUUUAGAAUAUUUUUAACUAGAUAAAGAUAAAACUCAUUUAUAAUAGUUGAAGUUCAUUAUUUUAUAUUUUUUUAAAUCAACGAGUCCAACCCCACUUUUCUCUUUAAUUUUUACAAUAAUGAAAUUUUUUAUUUUUAUCUUCGGUUAAAAAAUGUUCCAAACUAAUUAUUAAAUGAGAAUUGAAUUGAAUUCUCAUUCUUUAUUUCAACGUUUCAAAAUAACAAAAGUACAAGAAAAUCAAUUUGAAUAUAUGUUUUAACUUUGAAACCAACUUUGGAAUAAGGAAUACUAAGAGAGUGGUACAGACCUUGUGUUUGCUUUUGAGCUCAUGGUUAAUAAUUUAUUCCUCGAACAUCAGGAUUACGCACUAGUCAUGAUUGGUAUUAAAAGGACAAAAUAUUUCCCAUUUUGAAAAGUGAUUUUUAUUAAUAUAAAAUAAUAAAUAUAAUCUCAAAUUUAUCAAAAUAUUCUAUAUAUUAUUCUAUAAAAAAAAAUGUAAAAUGAGUAUAAAGAGUUUGAUGAAAAGUUGUUUUAAAAAAGUGAAAUAAUUUUUACAAGAUAAUUUCUUUUUUUGAACUUUUUAAUGGAAUACCUUUUUUAGAAAUGGUAUGUUUCUUACUUGUUUGUCCCACAUGGAAUUUUGAUAAAAUGUGUCCCAUCCAUGGAGACAUCUACAAGAACAUUGACAAAAUGAAAGCAAAAAAUCACACUAGUAAAAAUAAUUUUGUGUUACUAUGAGUUGAUUGGUUUUUAAUUAAUGUGAAUUUUUAAAUAAUAAUAUUUAGAAUAAUAUUUAUAAAAAAAACAUAUGGUUAUAUAUAUAAAUGAAUAAAGAAAAAAAAAAGGGAAAUCCACUUUCAUCUUUUUUUGCUUUUUGUAAAUGGAACCAAGAGAGGUAUACCAUGUCUUAGAUAAGUACUAGAUUUUCUCACUUUUUAAGGAUUUUAUAUUAAAAAAUCAAAAUCUUUUGAAUUAUGUGCACGUGGAGAGAUACCAAUUUGUACUAAUAAAUAAUAUAUUGAUAAAAAGAAUAUAUAUCAUUAAACUUUUAAAGAUACAAUUUUAAUAAAUAUUGAUAUGUGUAAUCUUGUGGUAACUCGUUAAGUAUCUUUACUUUAAAAAAUAUUUCUCAAAACUUGUUCUUUUCUUGUAAUAACUUUUAAAAAAAAUUAAAAAUAGUUUUUUUUAUUGUAAAAGAAAAUGCUAAAACUUCUUUUAUUUAUUUUCAUUUUAUUUCUUUUUGGAUUUUUAUAUAAUGAAAAUUCUUAAAUUGUAUGAAGUUAUUGAAUUAUUUAAUAGGAAUGAUAAUUUGGUAAGAUUUAGUUAGAAACACAACUUUAGGUAUUAAAAAUAUAAAACCUCAAGCAAAGACAAUGUGAAACUUAUAAAAAUAAAACUUUAUGAACUCAUUUUUAAUUUUACACUUAUUAUGGGCAUUAAAGGCCAAUUAACCUCCUCGAGAUGUGUAUGAUUCAUCCAACAUAGAACCCGAACAGAAUCCAUUAAUUACUCUCUAGGCAACCAAUUAAUGGACUCAUCACAUUUCCACCCAUGAAUCCAAACCAAGUUCUUUAUUUCUUUCUUCUUUUCUUUCUUUUUUUUUUUUUGAAAUUUUGAUACGAGCCAUAUUAACAGUUCCUUAGUUGACUUCUUCAUAGUUUUGUCAACCAUUUUCUCUCGUAGUUUUUUUUUUUCAUAAAAAUAAGGUUUUUCUUCAUACUAUGACUAGUAAUGUUAAGCUUUAUGUCAUGAGCUCAUGUGGUCAAUUCUUUAAAGAUAUGAAGUUUAAUUUCUUGAAUAUUAUACAAGAGACUCCAAUGUAUAUCUUGUAUGUACACCUCUACCAUUGAUACUUUUGAUAACCUAUCUUUGUAGUUAAGACUCUAGUCAACCACAAGCUAAUCUUUCUACUACUAAUCUUGUGUGUUUUAUAGAAAUAGUUUAAGAACUCCUAUUCCAUUUUGUCUCAUAUGUCAUUGGACUUGGGCUCGAGAUUUGUGCAUCAAUCAAAGGGAUUUCCUCAAAGGGAGUGCACAGAUUGCUUGACAAGAAGGUCAUCUUCAAUGUUAAAGUCAUUGUUUUACCAUUUCACAAGUAUCAAUGAAUGAGCAUGCGCCAACAUAUGUUGAUUUUAAGGUAAGGUAACUACUAAUGCUCUUGCCUUAUUACGAAUCAUUAGACCAAUAGAAGUAUUUUGUGAUGAUAAGGUAAUAAUAGUCUUACCAUUCCUUUUACAAGCAUAUCCAACUUAGUUCUUUCUUGAAGCCACUAACUUAGGAUGAUAGAGAAACUUUGGUCAAAAAAGAUGAAAGGCAAAAGAUUCCCGUCAAGCAUCCACUAAUUUGUACACACAAAUUUCUUGUUCUUAGGAAAUUAUAGAAUAAUUGUGGACAAAUUUAUAUUAAAAAAAAAAGUGGGUACACUAUUCUUUGAUAUUCUUUAAAAUAAAGAAUAUUUUUUUGAUCUCUCAAGUUGAUCUUGAUUCGGAGAUGUCAAUCACAUGCUCUCGAUUGACUUGGUCAAGAAUCAACUAGGCUUGUUCUUGAAUUUUUUACUUUGACAAUCCACUUUAAAUUUUGAAAAGAAAAUUGAACUUAAAGCAAAUUUGGAGAGUGUUGGAAGACACUUGUAAAAUUAUAUAGAGCUUUCUCUUUUUUUUCCUUUGUUUUUUUUCCUCGUCUAAUAAUUUCUUUACUGAUAAAGAAUUAUGGAUAAGGAGAUUAAUAGAUUUCCAAAUUCAAAUAAUUUAUUGAAUUUAAGACUCUAAAUUUAAGAUUUCCAAUUUUAAAUGUAGUUAUUUUUUAAUUAGGACACAUGUCAUAACACUUGGGCCCAUUAUUCUUUUUUCUUUCUUUUUUUUAUCUACAAUUCCAUUUUCAUAGUAUGUCAAAAUUAGGUGGCACCAAUAGUUUUCGUUCAUCAUGGAUACGGGCACUAUUACUAACGUGAUAUCUAUAUGAAAUGCUGACAUGGAUAAGAAGUACAUAUAUUGUAAGGAUAAUUUUGUUUUCAACCCAUAUAGAAUUAAAAUAAGUUCCUUCAACCACCUAUAAUUGAUGAUAAAGAUAUGAAAUAGUAAUCGACAAAAAUACCCACUUGAUUCAUUUUUGUCUUUAUUCUACUACUUGCCACUAUUCUUUCUUAUUUAACCAUUUUUGGAUUUUUCAUUAUUUUUUUAAACUCUUUUAUAAAUAAUUGAAAAUUUAACAUUAUUUUUUAUUUUUAAAUUAUAAAUAAAUAAAAAUUAUAUUAAUGAUUCAAAGACUAUUUUGGAAAAUACUUUCUAAAAAAAUAUUAAUUUAAAUAAAUAAAAAUUAUCUUUUACAUUUUAGAAGUAAAUAAUUUAAUGAUUAAAAUACAAUUUGAAAUAAAUAUAUUCACUAUUUUAAUUUUUUUGUUUUUCUUUUACUAUUAUAAAAUAAAAAGUUUAAUUUUUUUAAUCUUCUUCCUUCCUUAUUUUAAUAACGUUUUGAACAUGACUUUUAGUAAUAAGUUAUAUGAAAUGUUACAAAUUUAUGUAUUAAGGAUUUUUUUUAAUGAUUUGAAUUAAUUGAAAAUUUAUUAAAAAAAAUAAAAAAAUAAAAAAUAAAGAGGAUGGAUGAAGAGUUUUUAUUUUAAGUACUUAAUUAAAAUGUUUUCAUAUGACCUAAUUUUAAAAGUGGAUUAUAUCAAUACAUAGUAGAAAUUGAAUUUUUCUUAUAUAAAAGGGUUGAAAGGUAUAUUUACUUAUUUUAUAUGAAAACAAGUUACUAAAUAUUAUAUAGUUUAUAUUUGAGUUUGAUUUUAAAAUAUUUUUCUAGUUUUUAUUUUUUAUUUUUUUAUUUUUAAAAAUAAUUUUUAUUUUCUAUAUUGUCUCUUUUUGAAAAUACGUUUAAUUAAAAAAUGAAAACUAUUUUUAAAAAUGAAAAUUGAAAACCUUGUUUAGUACUAUUUUUUUAUAUGAAAAAAAAAUUAUUUAUUCAUUUAUUGCGUCACUGUACAAUUGUAUUAUACUAACUAUACAAGGAAAAUGUACUAAGUAUACAAAGGCGUACAAGGCUACCAUUUGUAAAAGAUUAUAAUAGAGUAUAAGUCAUUCUUUUAUUUUUCUUAUCACUCACGAAUUGUACAUAUAUGUCGUGCAUUUUAUUUAAUACUCACUUGAGUGUGAUAAUUAAUAAAAAGUCAUUUUAACACGAUUACAAGGAUAUGAAGUAGGAAUAGACAAAACUACCCAUUUGACUUAUACCCAUUAUUUUUGUCUUUAUACCACCACUCUUUACAUGUCACUUUCAUAAAAUUUUCCCUUAUUUAAUCAUUUAUUUUAUUUUUCAUUGUUUUUUAAAAUUCUUUUAAAAAUAAUUGAAAAAUUAGUAUUAUUUUUUAUUUUUAAAUUAUGAAUAAACAAAAAUUAUAUUAAUGAUUCAAAAACUAUUUUGGAAAAUAUUUUCGAAAAAAAUAUUAAUUUAAAUGAAUAAAAAAUAUCUUUUACAUUUUAAAAGUAAAUCAUUUAAUGAUUAAAACACAGUUUAAAAUAAAUAGAUUUAUUAUUUUUUUUCUUUUAUACUAAAAGGUAUUUUAAAGUUUUUUUUUUUACUAUUAUAAAAUAAAAUGUUUAACUUUUUUUUAAUCUUCUUUCUUCCUUAUUUUAAUAUUUUUUAUUUAACAUAGACUUUUGAUAAUAAGUUAUAUGAAAUGUUACAAACUUGUUUAUUAAGGAUUUUUUUUAAUGAUUUGAAUUAAUUGAAAAUUUAUUGAAAUAAGAAAAAGAAAAAGAAAGAAAGAUGACGGAUGAAGAGUUUUUAUUUUAAAUAUCCAACCAAAAUGUUUUCAUAUUUAGGAAUGGAUUAUAUCAAUAGAUAGUAUAGUAGAAAUUACAUUUUUUUCUCAUAUAAAAGAGUUGACUGAUAUAUUUACUUAUUUUAAAUGAAAAUAAGUAGUUAAAAAUUAUAUAGAUUAUGUUUGAGUUUAGCUUUAAAAUAUUUUUCUAGUUUUUUUUAUAUUUUUAAAAAUAAUUUUUAUUUUCUAUAUUGUCUUUUCUUGAAAAUAAGUUUAAUUAAAAAAUGAAAACUAUUUUUAAAAAUGAAAAUUGAAGACUUGUUUAAUUCUAUUUUUUCAUAUGAAAAUAAUAAAAAAGAAUUAAAUUUCAUUUAUUGAUUAUUCUUUUUUUUUUCUAUUAGUUAUUUUAAUAAUAAAAUAAAAAUAUAAUAUGUUCACAAUUAAAUAAAGGAAUCGGUCAAUUAUAUAUUUUUUUUACAAAAAUAUAAUAUGUUCACAAAAAAAAAAUCAAAUUUAAGUUUUCCAUCAUUUUCUUAAUCAAGCUAUUAGAAUCAUGUUUAAUACACAUAUAGACACACAUUCACUACGGAGAUAUGAAAUUCAUGUCGCUAUACAAAGGUAUUCAUUAAUUGUACAAUGGAAAUGUAUUAAGUGUACAAGAGAUGUGAAAGAUUAUUAUUUGUAAAAGAUUUCAAUCAAUUUUGAAUCACUCCUUUAUUUUCCUUGUCACCCACAUAUUGUAUACCCACAUCAUGCACCUUAUUUAACUAUCACAUGGAAAUUUCGAUAUUUUCCCCAAUAAUGAUAUUUGGGGAAAAAAAUUUAACCUUAAUUCAUCCAUCUUUUUCUCAACUAAACCAUUAGAAAUAUGGUUAACACACGUACGUGGACAUAUUACUUAGGAGGGAUAUAUUGUGUCAUUGUACAAUUGUAUUACAUUAAUUAUACAAAGGAAAUGUACUAAGUGUACAAGAGUGUACAAAGCUGCCAUUUGUGAAAGAUUUUAAUCAAUUUUGAAUCACUUCUUCAUUUUCCUUGUCACCCACGGGUUAUAUACUUAUGUCAUGCACUUUAUUUAAUUCUCACAUGGAAAUUUCGAUACUUUCCUUAUUAAUAAUGUUUGGGGAAAUUUUUUUAACCUUAAUUCAUCCAUCAUUUUCUCAGCCAAACUAUUAGAAAUAUGGUUAACAUACCUAUGUGGACACAUAACCUAAGAGGGAUAUAUUGUGUCAUUGUACAAUGAUGUUACACUAAUUGAACAAGGGAAAUAUAUUAAGUGUACAAGGAAAAUGUACUAAGUGUAUAAUGGUGCACAAGGUUACCUUUUGUGAAAUAUUUUAAUCGAUUUUGAAUCACAUCUUUAUUUUCCUUGUCACCCACAGAUUGUAUAUAAAAUUUGCACUACUAUGUAAGGGUGUUACACUCAGUGUACAAGGCAAAUGUACUAAUUGUAUAAGGUAAAUGUACUAACUGUACAAGAGGUAUACAAGGCUACCAUUUGUGCAAGAUUUCAAUCAAUUCUCAACUUUUUUUUUCUUAUCACCUAAGGAAUGGACACUUUUCCCCCACACAUUCCUUCACCUAAAAAUUGUUUCAAUUUGAAUUUUUAAAUUUCAUCAUCCAAAAUUUGUAAUUGCAUAUUUCGUUCGAGUAGUUUUAAUAAUAUUUUUUCUUAGUACAUUUACAUUUUAUAUAAAGGAAAAUUAACCACAAUAUUUAGGUACUAUAUUUUUUGUGAAAUCAAAUUAAUAUAAAUGGAUAACACAUUAGUGUCAUUGUUUAAAAUAACUCAAAACAAAAUAAACAACAUAUAAUAACUGUUUAGGAAAAAUUAUUAAUAUUUUUUACCAAACUAUGUCAUUUAGAUCUUCCAUACCAAAAUUAAAACAUAAGAAAUAAAAUUAAAAUUAAUCAUAUUUAAAGUGUUUAUUACAAGUAAACCAAAUGAAAUAUAUAAUUUUACUAUUUUACCCUAAUAAACAUAAUGUUAGCAGAGAUUAAAAAAAAUCAUAUUUAAAUAGAAUUAAAAAUGAUAAAAAAAUUAUCUUUGUAACAUUUGUAAUUUUAAAAAAAACAUUAAUUUAAAUUAUCCAAUUAAUUUAAAAUAAAUUUUUUUUGUUGUAAUUAUAAUUUAAAGAUCCCAUGAUUUUUAUAUUAUUACGUUUAAUUUAUUUUCUUUGAUUCUUUAUCUUAAAUUUCAUCCAAACUUCUUGUUAGAAAAAUUAGGUUAAUCUAACCUAUGGUAAUCACCUUAGAGGGGAAGUGAAUAAGGUGAUGGUCUCUUUUUGAAAAUUUAAACUAUGUGAAUGUAAGAGACAAUUAUAUACAAGUAUAUAAUAAACAAUAUAAAGACAAUUGCAUAUAAAUUAAAAUAGUAGGGAAGAGAGAAUGCAAACAUAAGAUUUUAUAGUGGUUCAGCGCAACUUGGCUUACAUCCACUCUCCUCUAGUUUCAAUCCCAAGCUUGAGGUUCCACUAAUUCAAGGCUUUCAAACUAAGCCUUCAAGCAAUACAAUUGGAUUAUAGUUCCAAUUCACUCUCUUGGACUUUUGACUCCAAGCACCCUUUACACUUCUCAAGAGAUAUCUCACUCUUGAACAACCUCUCAAGUGAUACCCCACACUUGAAAAACUUCCUCUUAAAUAUUUACAAAUAAAUUAUCUCACAAAAUCCUAAUACAAAAACUUUAAACUCAAUGAUACAAGAAAACUAGGAUUGAAAUGGUGCACUAAGGAUAUGCAAGUUUUAGAACAAUGGUGCACUCAAAAACACUCUUCCAAUGCUCAAAUAUAUUCAAGAAAGGUUUUGGAAGGUUAAGCUUAUGAAACAAUGAAGAUUAGAGCCUUUUUAUAGAAGAAAAAAACCAAACUAGCCGUUAGGGGUUCAACCGGUCGAGUUGGGGGUCAACCGAUUGACUAGCCGUUAGCAUUUAAUAUUUAGCAGGUAACCGUUGGACCAUAACCAAACCUCAACUGGACCUCGACAGGACCUUAACCAAUUGAGGUUCAACCUUGACCGGUUGAACAACCGUUCUAGAAAAAAGAGAAAGUUUUUUUGCACCCUCGACCGAUUGAGCUGGGGAUUGACCCGGACCUCGACCGGUUGAGCUGGUGGUCGACCAGUUCCUCAUCCGAUUCAACCGGUUGAGCCGUUUUUGAAUCAACAACCAACUUUUUCAAUUUAAAACCUUGUAAAACAAGUUUGAAAAACAUUUAACACAAGGUUUUAGUUGAAAACAUGAAAUCAUCCAAUUUUUAAAAUAUUUAAAACAAAAUAACUCUUGGAUGAUUUUGGUGCAUAAGUAAAGAAUGUAAUGCAUGAAAAUCCUAGUGCACCAAUAACCUUACAAAGAGAUCUUAUAAAGUUUGGGUCUUGAAAAACACUUCUCUUUGAGGUGAUCUUCUUCUUCAUGAUUUCUCCUUGGCUUGAUUUGUCUUUGUGAUUGCCACUUUGGAAAUCAUCUUGCCUAAUCACACUUGAAAUAUAUUCAUUAGUUCUAAACCUUAUAUUGUUAUCAUCAAAAUCAAGAUUAACCAAACCUUGGUUUCACACUUGUUUUUACCCAUAUUUUUAUGUUUUCUAUUAUAUCUUUUUUUAAAGUGAUUUUCAUCUCAUUUGUGCUUCAUUAUAUCCUCUUUUCAAUUUUAAUGUGUUUUUAUACAUCUUUGCAUAACAAAAGAUUUUGUCAUUUUUCAUCCACAAAACUUUAUACAAAAGAUAUCAUGUAUGAGGAAAAAAAGAAGAGAAAAUUGUGAUAUAAUUACAUGCACAUGUCUUAACAUGAAACAUUUGUUUGACUUGAUGACAUCAUGUUUUAAUAAUUUAAACCAUGUCAAGUUCACAUCUAUUUUGGAUUUAAAAGAGUAUUUUAAUAUUUUUCAAAUUAUUAAAUUAUAAUACAUUAUUCAAUUAAAAAUUACUUAUCACCAUUAGUUAAAAGAUGGUCAUGUUACAAAAUAAUAUAUUAAGACAAUGUCUAUAUAUUGUCCAUAAAAUAAAGAAAAUAUUCAGAUAAUUGUCUAUAACUUUAAAGAUAUUUAUAUAAAAAAUAGUUUUUAUAUGUACACAUAUAUAUUAGAUAAAAAAGAAUAAUAAUAUUUUUUAAGGUUUUUAAAAAAUAUUUAUUAUAUAUUUUGUAAGUUUGAAAAAAAAAAAUUUUAUGAGGUGUUUAAAAAAAUAUUUACUUAAAAAAUGUAGUAAUAAUCAUUUUUAACCAUUGGUUUACAAUAUUCAAUUUAUUAGGCAUGGUUUUUAGGAGAAAAAUAAUUUGUGAAAAUAGUGACACCUCUUUGGCUAGAAAUUAAUUUACAUGGUUCUAUCAAUUAAGAUGUGAGAAAAAGGUAAAGUGAAUGAAGAGAGAGAGAAAAAGAAAAAGAAUGAGAGAGAAACCGCAAAACUGAUUUUCAUUUUUUUAUUUUUUUGACAGCCAAGGGCGUUUCACAAAAAUUUAAAAGAUAAUGUUCUUUAAUUCAAUUUUCACUCAUCCAUCAGGUCUUAGGCUUAAAUAUAAGAGAUAAGAAUCUUGGUUCAAUUUUUAAGUAAAGCACGAUUCUCCCUACAUUCUUCUAUCACUAUUUAGACUCCCAUUGACUCACAAUAAUAUCUCCUUUACAAGCACAUCCGUGCGAAGACUAUGAUAAAUCAUUGACAAUCAAGUUCUUCAGAACAUUGUUUAAACUCUAACAAGAAAAUAGGGAUGAUGACCUUGAUUCCCUUGUAAGUAAGAGAUGAUGACCGUGAUACUAUCAGAAGUAAGGAAAAUUAAAGAGAAAAGAGUUAUCACUAUAAUCAUUAGUUCUAAAGGAUUGUCAUGCAAGUAAGGACAAAAAACCGUCUAUUAUGGACAACAAACCCUCAUUUGAACCACAUAAAAUUAGAAUGGUUAAUUGUUCUCUAUAAAAUGUCCUGUAAUAUCCAACUCCCGACUUUUAUAACGCUAAAUAAAAUAAUAAGAAUAUGUUUGAUAGUAAUUUUAUUGAAAAUAUUUUUAGUGAAAGUAUUUUAGUAUGCGUUUGGUAACGAUUAUAGAAAGUGUUUUUAACUUUUUUAAUACUUAAAAAAUAAAAAUUUUCAAGCGUAAGAAAGCAUAAAAAUACUUUCAAAAAUCACUAUCAAACACACUCUUAAUUUCUCUAAAAACGUUUUUGGGAGAAUCAUCGAUCCAUUGCUUCUUUAGAAAAUACUGCAAGUGAUUUUUUAACUUUUUGAAAGUAUUUUCUAAAUUUUAUAAAACAUGUGGUUUUCUUUAAAAAUGUUUUUUUUAUAUUAAAAACAUUGUAAAAUAGACUAUAAACAAUCAUCCUUUGCCAUAUAAUAGUUUUAGAAGUGUUUUUUUCAACUGAUAUUAUAUAUUAAGAUCCUACGUAAACAACCAAUAUUAGUACAUCAAAAGCCAUCAUCUUCUUUUAUAUAUAUAUACUAGAUUCAUAAGCCUAUGACAUGAAGCUCAUGAUCAUAGUUUAUUAUACGUACAAGGCCCUUCCUAGGACUUCAAUAUUGAGUUCAAACAUCAGGGUCCGGUUUGUCCACUCCAUCCACAGUCCUCAACCAGUAAGUCUGGCCAAAGCAGGCUGCACCAUCCGGGACAUCGUCCAUCAUAUGGUCAUGCCCUUCGGGGAAGUAUAUCCCAGUCCGAGGGUGCGGCACCCAGCUGGACGAUGAGCCGUCGCCCUUAUGAUCAGCACCAUCCGUCCGUCCUCUAGCUUUCCCCGGCGCCCCCUCAGCCCCAGCUACCUUACUCAAGCCCCGCCACACCGGCUUUGCUCCCCUGCAUGAACUGACACUGCCUUAGAAUUUUGUGUAAAAUAUGCCUUAUAUAUACAAGAAAUUUAGAGCACCCCAUUAGCAAAAGAACGCAAACCAGUGACCCAAAGUGGAGUUACCUAAGAAAUAACACCUGUGUUUUGGCUACACCAGUUCUAGCCAUGGCCUGAUCAGCAGCAAAGAUGUAAGCCCAGAGCUGGGUUUGUUACCAAGGGUGUGGAGUCCUGACCCCUUUUUAUGCCCUAAAAAUGACACAUUCUUGGUGCAUAACAGCGGCGCUACAGAAUCGAUUCUCACUGUACAGUUUUCGUGCAGAUUACCUGAGACAAAUGAAAAGUAUACAUUCUAAAGGAAAAGUGAAUUUCGGCACCUUCUCCAUUCGGGUAAGAUGAGGAGUGAAAAGUACUGUGGUCUUGAACCUUAUUCUUGUUUGUCCUUUGAUGGGGGUACCCUCCGUUAAAUGGACUAAAGAAAAUGCCAUCGUCCGUGUGCUUAUUUGUUGACGAUCUUGGUUGAGUACAUUGAGAAUAUAUGGAUUUUGUAAAGGAGUUGUGAGAUGCGGGUUGAUGUUUGUAUGUUCAAUGUGCUCCAUGACUGUACAUAGCUUAUAAUUGAAGUAAAAAAUUCCCAUUCAUGUACUCCCAAAAGGACGAAAAAUUCAAGGCCAAGAAAAAAAAAGAAAAAGAGUAAUGCUAAAAAAUCGACACAUGACAAAACAAUUAAGAAAUGUUAAUGUUAGUAUAUUUACGUGCUUACGAGUGGAAAUAGAAAUGGAAAUAGGAGUAAAUAAAAAAGAAAAAUUAAAAUUUUAAAAAGAGUGGAAUUUAAUUUUUAUAAUAGAGAUUUUUCUAUUUCUAUUCUUAUUUAAAAAGUAAUUCAAACUAAUUAUUAAAUGGAAAUGAAAUUGAAUUCUCGUUCUUUAUUCCGACAUUUCAAAAUAGUCAAUGUACAAGAAAAUUAAAUUGAAUAUAUGUUUUAACUUUUAAAAAAUCUUUAAAAUAUAGAAUAUUAGGAGAGAAGUAAAGACCGUCUACUUGCUUUUGAGUUUAUAUCCAAUAAUUAUUCCUCGAUCGUCAAGUCAAGAUCAUGCGCGAGUAAUGGUUGGUAUCAAAAAAAAAAAAAAAAUCUUCCAUUUUGAAAAGUAAAAUUAUAAACAUAUAAUCUCAAAUUUAUCAAAAUAUUCUUUAUAUUAUUUUAUCAAAUUUAUCAAAAUAUUCUUUAUAUUAUUUUAUAAAAAUUGUAAAAUGGGUAUAAAGAGUUUGAUGAAAAGUAUUAUUCUCUUUGUUUUAAAAAGGUGGAAUCCUUUUUAGAAGGUAUGUUUCUUACUUGUUUGUCCAAAUAAUUUGUCCCACAUGGAAUUUUGAUAAAAUGUCUCCCAUCCCAUGGAGACCUCUACAAGAACAUUGACAAAAUGAAAGCAAAAAAUCACACUAGUAAAAAUAAUUUCGUGUUACCAUGAAUUGACCGGUUUUCAAUUAAUGUAAAUUUUUAAAUAAUAAUAUCCAAAAUAACAUUUAUUAAAAAAAAAAAAUAUGAUUAUAUAUAUAAAUGAAUAAAGAAAAAAAAUAUGGGUCCACUUUUGUCUUCUUUUUACUUUUUGUAAAAGGUUAAUUUUAUUACAAUCUCGAAAAGUUAAAUAUAAAUACACUAAGUCAUCACAUAUUUUAAAUUUUAUCAAUUAAUAUCCCUAAAAAUAUAUUAUAUAUAUAUAAAUUUUAUUUUUUAAAUAAUAAAAUUUAAUUAUUAGAGAAUUGUUAAACACUCUUAUCUAAAAUAUUUUAACUUAAAUUCUUUAUAAAAAAUAAAUUUAAUAAACAAAAUAAGUUUAUAAGGGUGGUUAUUGACGAAAUUUGAAACAUAUGAUGGUUUAAUGUAUUUAUAUUAAACAUAGAGGGUCUUAAUGAAAUUAAUCAUUUUGUAAAUGGAACUAACAAAGGUAACAUGUCAUUUUUUAACUUUAUUCAUAAAUUAAAAUUAAAGUAAAAAUUAUUAUAAAAUAUGAAAUUCUGUACCAUUAUGGUAACUUGUGGAUGAUCAUCUAUAAAUAUCUUGUGUAACUCCCUAUAAAAGGAAGAGACCCCUAAUGAAUUUUAAUUGAGUUUUCCCAUGCAUUCUAUUCUCUUCCUUCAUUCUAAUUUCUCUUUCUUGUUUCUUCUCUUUUCACUUUAUAAUUUUACAACAUGUUAUCAGCAUGACUAGUCUCUACAAAAGAAAUAUAAAUAUUUUUCUCUAUUAAGAGAAAUAGAAAGGUGUUCUCAUUUUCAAAGAAAUAGAAAGACUUUUUUUAUCUUCUUUCUUACAAAAAGGUAUAUGAUAAACUUAUAUUAUGAUUUUCUACUUUAUUACCUUUGACUCUCUAUUUUUACUUAUUUUAUUCGAAUGCAUAAAUAAGUACAAUCCCUAUAACUAGAAGUUAUGUGAUAAAUUAUAAAUUAUAGAGUAAAUUCAUAACCAGAAGUUAUGAAAAUAUGUACAAUCCCUAUAACCAGAAGUUAUGGAAUAAAUUAUAAAUUAUAGGGUAAAUUCAUAACUAGAAGUUAUGAAAAAUACGUACAAUCCCUAUAACCAGAAGUUAUGGGAUAAAUUAUAAAUUAUGAGAUAAAUUCAUAACCAGAAGUUAUGAAAAAAAUAUAUGCAAUUCAUAUAACCAGAAGUUAUGGGGAAAAAUUACAGAAUUACAAAUACACGACCAGAUGUUAUGUAUAUGAUCCCCAAUUAUUUAUUUUUAAUUAUACGAUAUAACUGGAAGUUAUACCAAACAAUAUUAUAGCUAGAAGCUAUAAAAUAAAUAAAUAAAUAAAUAAAUGUUCAUAGCCUGAAGUUAUGUACAAAACUACAUAAUGAAAGUUCAUAGCCCCAAGCUAUGCACAAAUCUACCCAAUGAAUAGUUCAUAGCCUGAAGCUAUAUACAAAUUUAAAUAUUUUCUUUGUCUGACAAAAUAAUCAUGGCUUGAAGUUAUGAAAGAUAUUAACUUUUAAUUUCUUUAAUUUAUUUUAAUUAUAUUGUGUAACUAGAAGUUAUACAUAAAUAGUUCAUAGCCUGAAACUAUGUACACAUUUGAAUAUUUUCUUGUUUUGACAAAAUAAUCAUAACUUGAAGUUAUGAAAAAUAUUGGAUUUAAUUUUUAUGUCGUACUCAUUUAUUUUUCACAACAGGAAUUAUGGAAAACAAUUUUUAUUAACAAUUGUUUCAUAGCUAGAAGUUAUGCAUACAAUUUCUAAUUCUCUUGUAUAACUAGAAGGUAUUCAAAACAUAAUUGUCAAUGAAUCUUGGAGCUAUGAUCAAAGAAGGAAAUCUAGCAUCCUUGCAGGAUCGCGCAAAAACACUGAUUUUCCUUCGUCAUCAUCUCCAUGAAGGUUUAACAAAAAUGAGCUUUUGAUGAGAAAUCACCAGUCUCGUCCAACUAGAUUUGAAUCAUUCCCUAAAGUAAAUGCAAUAUUGCCCCAAACUCGUGGACGGUGAUGAGGACGUGGUCGUUGAAGAAAUCCCCGAUACCAUAGUUCUUAUAGUAAUAAUUCACCAAAUUCUCAGAAAAGGAAAGUCUCAUUGCACCACCAGAAGUGGAAUAAUACUGAGGUAAAACAAGAAAAUGGGAAGUGUUUACAAGAUAAACCUCUUAAGAACCAUGAGAAUAAGUGUUACAGAUGUGGUAUGAAGGGACAUUGGUCGCGUACCUAUCGUAUGCCCAAACAUUUGGUCGACCUUUACCAAGCAUCAAUAAAAUGAAAGAAAGUUGAAAUGAACUUCAUUGAUAGUGAUGGCCAAGUGGAUCUAACCCAUUUAGAUGUUUCGGAUUUUUUUGAGAAUCCUAAUGGGAAAAUUGACCAUUUAAUUGGUGAUGGAAAUGUUUGUUAUGAUUAAACGUUAUGUUUUUAUUUAAUUCUUUACAAAUAGGUUUAUUUUGUUAUCAUAUUUGAACACUUUGUUUAUUGUUCAUCUUUUAUAGUUUAUUUCACAUUUUAUUAUUUAUCAUUUAAAUUCUUUUCUUUAUUUAUACUUGAAGAUACAUGGAUCUCUCUCAUACCUUGAUCCAUGACUACAAUUAGUUUGAUUAUUGAAAUACUACAUAGUUAUUUCAUGUAUAAAUCGCUCCACACUUACAAAAUCAAAUGUGUGAGAUACUUACGAAAUAUAUAACUUUAAAUUAUCUUUUCAUAUUUGUUUUAUUGUGUUAUAUAUGCUCUCAUUGUUUUUACACAACUUAUUAAGUUAAGUUAUCAUCGAUGACUAAUAUUUUUCCAUUGAUCUUAACUUUUUCUCUAUGAUAAUAUUUAUUCAACUCUAUAAAGAUGAAGUCUUUAUGACAAUGUCUUAUGACUUGUUACUUUGAUGAAACUCUUGUCUCAUUAAUUGCACAACAUUGAUGAUAAACAAUGUUAAUACUAUAUCAGGUGAUAGAAACCUAAUUAAAAACUCCAGAAGAGUUUAUAAUAUGUCACUAGUAGUAUUUGAUUCCAUGUGAAUGAUACUUUAUAUGAUGAUAGAUCCAGAAGAAUCUUGUAAGACCAACUUGGUCCCCUAGGGUAAAAAGUCAUAUAGAUGUACAUUAUAAAACCAGAAGUUUUUAUUUAGUGACUAGUCUACCUAUAUACUUAAAAGGUAGAAUGACAUGUUGUGUAGAUUAUCAUUUUAAUGAGACAAUUUUCCCACCAUUAGGGGGAGAAGAGCCAGUUCCAGAAAAACGACGUGAAAUUAUUUGGAAUGCAUUGACUUUGACUCAUCUUGAUCCUCAUACAAAUCAAUGUGAACUAGGAAUUCAAAGGAUCAUUCAUUUACAAAAUCUUGCAAAUUAAUUACAAGAUGCAUUCAUUGAUACAAAAAAAGUGACAAAGUCAUAUAUCCCGGCUGCAAAUACUCCAGCACGAAUUGAUGUCCCUGUAGGACAGUUAACAAAUUAAUCUAAGAUACGCCUGAAGCGUGGUAGACUUGUCGGCUCAAAGGAUGUAACUCCCCAGAAGAGGAGAACCCAAGAAAAACUUGGCACUCUAGAAGAGACCAUCAAAAUGACUGAUCAGUUUAAAAUUGAUAAAUCUAUAGCCUUAGAAGAGACACAAAUAAUACAAGAAGCCCUUGAAGAGGCACAUAUACUGAAAAAAAAUCCCUUGAAGAGGCACAGGUACCUGAAAAUUGUGAGAUCUCAGUAAGUUAUGGAUACACGGGAGAAAAAUGGGAUCAAAAUAAUAUUAUUUUCUCUUUCCAAGUGGUCUCCAUAAGAAAUGAUGAAGAUCUUAAACCACAAAAUGUGAAAGAAUGCCGACAUAGAAAUGAUUGGCCAAAAUGGAAAGAAUUUAUACAGGCAAAGUUAAACUCAUUAACAAAAUGAGAAGUUUUUGGACCUGUAGUCCAAACACUUGAAGAUAUAAAGUCUAUUGGGAACAAAUGGGUAUUUGUAUGAAAACACAAUGAGAAUAAUGAGAUCAUAAGAUAUAAAGUGCGAUUAGUAGCACAAGGUUUCUAGUAGAAACCUGGUAUUGACUAUGAGGAAACAUUCUUUCCCGUUAUAAACGUAAUCACAUAUAAUUUCUUAAUUAGUUUAGCAGUCCCAGAAUGACUAGAUAUGCGUCUCAUGAAUGUUUUUACAAUAUAUUUAUAUGGAUCCAUGGAUAAUGAUAUAUACAUGAAAAUCCCUGAAGGAUUUAAAUUGCCUGAAGCAAAUUGUAUAAAGCCUCGUAGCAUGUACUCAAUCAAGUUACAAAGAUCCUUGUAUGGAUUAAAGCAAUCUGGACGCAUGUGGUACAAUCGCCUUAGCGAAUACUUGCUAAAAGAAGGGUAUGUGAAUAACCCUAUAUGCCCAUGCAUCUUCAUUAAGAAAUCAGAAACCGAAUUUGCAAUUAUUGCAGUGUAUGUUGAUGACUUAAAUCUUGUUGGAACUCCCGAAGAGCUCACAAGAACAACAAAUUACUUGAAAAAGGAAUUUGAGAUGAAAGAUCUUGGAAAAACAAAAUUUUAUCUCGGUCUGUAGAUUGAGCAUUUUCAAAAUGGAGUUUUAGUACAUCAAUCAACAUACAUUAAGAAAGUUUUGAAGUGUUUUUAUAUGGAUAAAGUGCAUCCUUUAAGUUCUCCAAUGGUUGUUCGAUCACUUGAUGUGAAAAAGGACUCUUUCGUCCUUGCGAAAAAGGAUGAAGAAUUACUUGGUCCUAAAGUACCAUAUCUUAGUGCUAUUGGUGCACUUAUAUAUCUUGCCAAUUGUAUACGUCCAAACAUUCUUUUUCUAUCAAUUUAUUAGCAAGAUAUAGUUCCACUCCAACUCGAAGACAUUGGAAUGGUAUCAAACAUAUAUUGUGUUAUCUUUGCGGAACUACUAGUAUGGGUCUAUUUUACUCAAGAGAAUCAAAGCAACAAUUGUUUGGAUAUGCAGAUGCAGAAUAUCUUUCAGAUCCAUAUAAAGGUAAGUCACAAACAUGGUAUGUGUUUAAUUACAGUGAUACUGCUAUCUCAUGGAGAUCUAUCAAACAAACAAUGGUGGUCACAUCGUCAAAUCAUUCAUAAAUUCUUGCAAUUCAUGAAGCAAGUCGUGAGUGUGUAUGACUAAGGUCAAUGAUCCAACAUAUUCAAGAAACAUGUAGACUACCUUCCAUCAGAGGCAAUGCAACCAAGUUACAUGAAGAUAAUGCUGCUUGUAUUGCACAAAUUAAAGGAUGAUUCAUAAAAGGUGACAAAACUAAGCAUAUUUCCCAUAAAUUAUUCUAUACUCAUGAGCUCCAAAAGAAAGGUGAGAUCGAUGUUCAACAGAUUUGGUCAUGCAAUAAUCUAGCAAAUCUAUUCACAAAGGCGUUACCUUCGACCGCAUUGAAAAAGUUAAGGUAUGACUUUGGAAUGCGAAGAUUGAGAGAUCUACCAUUUGAAAUGUUAAAGAAAUCAUAAUCAUGUUUACAUGAGGGGGAGAAUGAUAAUAUGGAUAUACUGCACUCUUUUUUCCUUCGUCCAGGUUUUGUCCCAUUGGGUUUUACUGGCAAGGUUUUUAACGAGGCAGUUAUAGUAAUCCAAAAGAAUAUUGUACUCUUUUUCCUUCACUAGGGUUUUUCCAUAGGGUUUUUCCUAAUAAGGUUUUAAUGAGGCAUAUUUUUAUGAUCAUCUAAUGGGAAAUAUUAUAAAAUAUGAGAUUCUGUACCACUAUAGUAACUUGUGGAUGAUCAUCCAUAAAUAUCUUGUGUAACUCCCUAUAAAAGGAAGAGACCCCUAAUGAAUUUUAAUAGAGUUUUCUCAUGUAUUCUAUUCUCUUCCUAUAUUCUAAUUUCUCUUUCUUGUUUCUUCUCUUUUUACUUUAUAAUUUUACAACAAAAAUCAUUUUUUUAGAACAUUAAUUAUGAAAUAAUUUUCCCAAAAUUAUGAAAAAGAACAUUGUUUUUACUUCCUUAAUAAUUUUUUUAAAAUUUUAAAAUAUUUUUAUAAAAUGGCAUUUUUAAAAAAAUUCUAGAUUUGUCCUUACAAUAAAUAAAUAAAUAAAAAUUAUAGAAAUAUAGUUAGAAAGCACAAAAAGAUGGUGGGCGUUAAAUACUGGAAACUAGAAUAAGCAUCUACGGCUUUCCCUUCUCAACUUUUUUUUGCCUUCUAUUUCCAGCCUUAAUCCGCCUUUUUUUGGGUGAAAGAUGUGUUUCAAAAGCAAUAGAAAACCUCUCCAACUCCCUUUUUCAAUACUAGGUUCGGACCACGUUCUGGUCACGUGGAUGGUUAAUUAAUAAAAUUAAGAUUAUAUAAAUUUUUUAAUUAUAAAAAAUAGUAAUUUUAUAAAAUUAAAACAAAUUUUUUAAAAAAUUUAUUGAAUUAUCAUAAAAACAAUAUAACUUAAUCUUAUGCAAAGAAUAAUUAAUUUGAAUAUAUAUUUCUAAUUAAAUAUUGUUACAUGUUGAAAAAAUAAUGUGAGAAUCAAUUGAUCAUCUUAAUUUUGGGAUGUUUCAGAUACGCAUAUAAAUAAGGUCUGAUUUUCGAGAUCAUGAGCAUGACAUCUUCUGUUUUUUCUUGUUUAAUAAGUAUUAUAAGGAAUAGGGAAAAUUAUUUCACUAUUAUUAUCUUUUUUGAACUUGCAGAAAAAUAGUUCGAUUAAUUUUCCCUUUUUUUUUCUUGGGUAGUAUCAAAUAUUAUGUGAAAUAAUAUAUGCCUAAUUAUCUCUUAAUUAUUAUGAACUAAAUAUGAUAAAUAAUAUUAAUAUUAUGCCAUAAAAGACCUACUUAUGAACUAAAUAUAUUUUUAUUUUUUUAAUAAAUAAAUUAAUCAUAAUUAAACUCAAAUUAUUAUUAAAUAAAAUUACCAAAUAAUAUUAACAUCAAACAAGAAAGUAUCUAAAUUAGGAAAAAAUAGUUUUCUAGUCCAAUUUUUUUUAUUAAAUAGGUUAAUUUUAAUUAUCACUAACCAAAAUUACCAAAUAACAUUGAAUAAUUAAAAAAUAAAAUAUGGAAUUGUUUUUCAAAACAAAAAAAUAAUCUUUAUUUACCAAAUAAUUAUAACUAAUUAAAAUUUAAAAAAUAAGAUUAAAUAAUAAAAAUUGAACAUGGAAUAGAAAUUUCCUACUUAAAAUUGUUUGCAAAAUAAAUCGAUCCUAAUUAACUUAAUAAUAUUAAAUCUCAUGCUAUGAAUGUAAUUAAUUUUAUAAAACUGAUAUUUGCUUAAAUCAUAAUCUUAUUUAAUGUAUGGUUAGUUUCAUGAAUUGAUGUUUAGAGAGAGAGAGAGAGCCCCAAGUAAUUGAAAAUUAUUAUAUAUUAAAUAAGAUUUAUUGUUACAUUAAAUCCGAUAUUUUGUUGGCAUUUUUAAAAAAAAAAUUGAUGUUAAUAAAAAAUAAAUCAAAAGAUUCUUUUGUCAAUUUAUGGUAAAAUCACCGUGUGUUUGGUAAACAAACUUAAACUUAAAUUAACUUAAAAAUUUUAUUUAAGUUAUUGAAUAAAUUAAAUAUAUUUAGUAAAAUAACUUAAUAGUAUCACUCAAAGUUAAAAAUUAAUUUAAAUAAUAAGUAAAAAUAAUUAACUUAUUCUUAAAUCUACAUCUUCAUUUUAACUUUUUAUCAUCAUUUGUCAUAAUUACCUUCACAAUCUCUUUUUCUACUCUAUAACAUUUAGAGUGAGUUUGAUAAUGAUUUUAAUAAGUGUUUUUAAUAUUUUCUAAUAUUUGAAAAAUAAGAAUUUUCAAGUAUUAGAAAUGAUAGAAACACUUCAUAAAAUCACUGUCAAGCGCAUUCUUAUUGUUACUUAACAUCCUUUGUCCUAAUUAUAAUUUAUGAGGAUAAAUAUAUUAAUUUAACGAUUUAGAAUAAAUUUUAUGUUUUUAUCAAACAACCUUAAUACUUAAAGUAAUAAUUAAGUAAUAAGAUUUUAAGUCAAUAACUUAAGUAUAAUUCAACUUAAAUCAUUAAGUAAGUAUUAAAUUUUACCAAACACCCAUUUAAUUACAUAAAAUCGGAUUUUUUUUAUAUAAAUUAAUGUUAAUAAUGAUAUAAAUUAAUCUUAAAGUUAAUUUAUGUAAAAUCAAUUUUUUUUUUUUUGUAAAUUAAUGUUAAUAAUGAUCUAAACUUGUUUUAUCAAUUAUCAAUCCUAAAGUUAAUAAAUAUUAAAUUAGAUUUUGGUGAGUAUAUUAAUUUUUUGUAAAUUGAUGUUAAUAAAAAUUAGCAAUUUAUUUUACUAAUUGAUUUAUAAAUUUUAUAUUCAUUAAAUGGGAAUUUCAUCAGUUAAUUUUUUAAGACUUUGAAAAUUAAAUUACAAUUUUAUUUCUCAUGCUUGCUUUCUUAUAUAAAUGUGUUAAUUUCAUUAACCUCUCUUAAGAUUUUAGUUAAAUACAUCUAGCCCUCAUUGGUUUAAAUUUCAUCAAACACCUCUUUUACCCUUUUCAUUUAAUAUUUUUAUUCACAUUUCUAAUUUAAAAUAAGGAAGGUAUUUGACAAAUUUUCAAACCAAUGAGCAUAGAAAGAUACCUUAAUUCACAAAACCUUUCCACUAUUCCAUAGAUAAUAAUUACAAAGAACAAAAACCAAAUAUAAUUAUUGGGAGGAUAUUACAGAGGAUAGAAACUAAAUAUAAUUAUCGAGUCUCAAAACAUUUCAUAUUUCCUACUCAUUGUAUUCACACUUUAAGCACGAGUCUUCUUACUCCACUGUUCUUCCUAGAGGUAUCCAUUAGGUUGGGUUGCCCAUUUUGGCCCAUGGCCUGGCACGCCAAAAGGUUGGGUCGGGCGACACGACCCAACACUGUAGCAAGAUGGGCUAGCACGACCCGAAGGAGCAGGCUAUGUUGGGCCUAAAGAAACAGCUCACCAACCCACCAUGCCGACCUACCGUGCAAUUCUAACAUUUUUUGUUUCUCCUUAUUUUUUCAUGUAAUUUGUUGAAAUAUUGAAUAAAAGAAUUAUUUUUUUAUAUUUCAUUUCCUUUUAUAUUCCAUUAUUUUAAAUUUAUUUUUAUUUUGAUAGAAAAAACAAAUUCAAAUAUAAUUUUUUUUACUAUUUUUAAAAAUAAAAAACUAACAUUUCUAUAAAUUUUACAAUUACAAACUCGAUAAAUAUAAAUAUAAAAAAUAAAAAGUAUAAUGAUUAGAGGUGUAUAAAAAAUAAAAAUAAAAAAAUAAUUAUUAGAGGUGUUUAAAGUAAUAAAAAGAAAUUUUAUUUAAUAAUGAAAAAAACUUUUAAAAAAAUGACUUAAAAAGUUUAAAUUAAAAUUUUUAACAAAGUGAGUGACCCAUGGGCCACGGCAUGGCACGAUUAGCUCGUAGGCUUAUGGGCCAUGUCGGGCCACCUAUUUGGCUUGCAUGGGCCAGCCUAGCCCGACACGAUUUUUAAAUGAGUCGUGCUAGCCUGUAAUGGCCCGAUCAAUAUCAGUUCGUGCCAACCUGACACGACUCAUUAGACACCUUUAGUUCUCCCUCAUAUUUCUAUCUAUUUUCAUCUUAUAACAUUUUUUCUAACCUAAAAUAUUUAUAGAGAUAUUUUCAAUAACUUUCUUUAUUUUAUAAGAAAAUUUAAUAUUACAAUAAUAUAUUAAUUUAAAAAAUAUUUUAUAUAUAAAAAUAUAUUUGCUAAUUAGAAAUUUGAAACACUUUACCAACAUUAACAACUUACAAAUAUCUUAGUAUAUUCUUAAAUAAUUUAAUACUAUUCUUAAACCAUAUAUAAUAAUUUGUCCAAUUCCAAGAAAAAUUUGUAUAAAUUUUCAUUUGCUGCAUAAUUUAAAUUAUUUAAGCUUAAUCUCAAUAUUUAAAAGGCUGGCAGCUAAAAAAAGUAAAAGACUUUUGGUGGAAAAAAUUUAAUAUAUAAAAUGUUUUAUUUGGUUCAAUUAAAUGGCAAGUUGCUUUUAAGAAAAGUAGUGUGACAAAUUUUUCCGACCUAAAAAUAGGUAGUCACGAGCUGUUGAUGUGAACCAUUUAAUUAAUACAAGUAAAGUAUAGUUUUUGUAUGGACUAUAUAAAAACGUAAUAUUAAAGUAAAAAUAAUAUUAUCACAUGAUUUCAACGUUAACCUAUUCUUUUCCACAAUUUUGUGGAAAUAAAGUUUAAAAACCCGUUUCACCGAUUGUUUUUGAGAAUAGCUUUUUAUUUAAAAAAAAAAAAAAAACCGGAAAACACUUUUGAUAACCAUAAAUUGUUUUUAAUUUUUUGUUUUUCAAAAAUAAAAAAUAAAGCAUUUUUAGAAAAUAUUUUAAUCAUUUUUAGUUUUUUUUAGAACCUUUUUAAAAAUUAAUUAUACAAUUAAAAAUAAAAUUAUAGACAUAAAAAUUAUUUUUAAAAUAUUAAAAAUGGGUUUAAAAUAUUUCAAAUUCUUAAACAAAUUUUAUUUACAAAACACGGUUUGAAAAACUAUUUUUAAAUUUCAAAAAGGGUUAUCAAACGCAGGUAAUAUUUUAUUUUUUAAAAUAAAAUAUUUUAAUCUAUUUGAUAUUAUAUUUAUAUUUUCAAAUACGUGGACGUUUUUUCUUAAUUAAUAUUUUGGCUUUAAUCGCAAAUAUUUCUAUUUAUAAUAAAUUGAAGAUCUAGAGGACCGCGACUAUAUUAUUUUCUAGGUAGCCAAACAGGCCCGGAAGGAAAGAAGGCCCAAAUGGAAACGUCGAACAUCUUUCCGACGUUUUCAAAAGUCAAUGCAUCAUCGUUGAAUAGAAGGAGAACUCCCGCUAUUGCCAUUUCUUCAACGCACAGAGACCAGAAACAGUGUUAAACAGGGAGAAAGUGCGUGAAAAUUUGAAGAAACCGUAGAUGAAAUGAUAGAUUAGUCCACCAUUCUAAAAAAGUUGUAAAAGUUGUAAUCACAAAUUGCAAAAUACCUCUUCCUGAUGCAAAUUCUCAUUCUUUUUGUUCAGCUUGUUGCCUUGGUAAAAUUCAUAAAUUUCCUUUUAGAUUGUCUAAUACGACCUACACAAAACCUUUACAAUUGGUUCACUCUAGCUUAUGGAGACCUUCUCCAAUGUUGUCAUCUAGUGGCUAUGGAUAUUACAUCAGCUUUAUAGAUGCAUUCUCUCGUUUCAAUUGGAACUUUUUGUUAAAGCAUAAGUCAGAUGCUCUUCAAACUUUCUCAAAUUUUAAUACACAAGUUGAGUUGCAACUUGGUUAUAAAAUAAAGGCUAUUCAAACUGAUUAUGGGAGAGAAUAUAGAGCUUUUACUAAUCUUUUAAUGUCUCAUGGUAUAAUUCAUAGAAAUUCUUGCCCUCAUACUCAUGAACAAAAUGGAAUUGCGGAGAGAAAACAUCUUCACAUAGUAGAAAAUGGUCUUACUUUAUUAGCUAAAGCUUCAAAUUUUCUAUAUUUUCUUUUCUUGAAAAUUUGAACAAGUAGUUAAAAAUUAUAUAGAUUAUGUUUGAGUUUAGUUUCUAAAUAUUUUUCUAGUUUUUAUUUUUAAAAAUAAUUUUUAUUUUCUAUAAAACUAUUUUUAAAAAUGAAAAUUGAAGACCUUGUUUAAUACUAUUUUUUCAUAUGAAAAUAAUAAAAAGAAUUAAAUUUCAUUUAUUGAUUAUUCUUUUUUAUUUUUUUCUAUUAGUUAUUUUAAUAAUAAAAUAAAAAAUAUAAUAUAUUCACAAUUAAAUAAAGGAAUCGGUCAAUUGUAUAUAUUUUUUUUUACAAAAAUAUAAUAUGUUGUUCACAAAAAAAUCAAAUUUAAGUUUUCCAUUAUUUUAUUAAUCAAACUACUAGAUCAUGUUUAAUACACAAAUAGGUACACAUUCACUAUGGAGGUAUGAAAUUUGUGUCACUGUAUAAGGGUAUUCAUUAACUGUAUAAAGAAAAUGUAUUAAGUGUACAAGAGGUGUAAAAAAUUUCAAUCAAUUUUGAAUAACUCCUUUAUUUUCCUUGUCACCCACAUCAUGCACUUUAUUUAACUCUCACAUGGAAAUUUCGAUAUUUUCCCCAAUAAUGAUAUUUGGGGAAAAAAAUUUAACCUUAAUUCAUCCAUCUUUUUCUCAACUAAACCAUUAGAAAUACGGUUAACAUACAUAUGUGGACACACUACUUAAGAGAGAUAUAUUACGUCAUUGUACAAUUGUAUUACAUCAAUUGUACAAAGGAAAUGUACUAAGUGUACAAGAGUGUACAAGACUACCAUUUGUGAAAGAUUUUAAUUGAUUGUGAAUCAUUUCUUUAUUUUCCUUGUCACCCACGAAUUGCAUACUAUGUCAUGCACUUUAUUUAACUUCCACAUGGAAAUUCUAAUACUUUCCCAAGUAAUAAUGUUUAGGGUAAAAAAUUUAAUCUUAAUUCAUCCAUCAUUUUCUCAGUCAAACCAUUAGAAAUAUGGUUAACAUACCUAUGUGGACACAUAAUCUAAGAGGGAUAUAUUAUGUCAUUGUACAAUGGUGUUACACUAAUUGUACAAGAGAAAUAUACUAAGUGUUUAAGGGAAUGUACUAAGUGUAUAAGGGUGUACAAGGCUACCUUUUAUGAAAUAUUUUAAUCGAUUUUGAAUCACUUCUUUAUUUUCCUUUUCACCCACGGAUUGUAUAUAAAAUUUGCACGAUUGUAUAAGAGUGUUAUACUAACUGUACAAGGUAAAUAUACUAAUUGUUUAAGGUAAAUAUAAUAAAUGUACAAGAGGUGUACAAGACUACCCUUUGUACAAGAUUUCAAUCAAUUCUCAACCAUUUUUUUUCUUGUCACCUAAGGAAUGGACACUUUUCUCCUACACAUUCCUUCACCUAAAAAUUGUUUCUAUUUGAAUUUUUAAAUUUCAUCAUCCAAAAUUUGUAAUUGCAUAUUUCGUUUGAGUAGUUUUAAUAAUAUUUUUUUCUUAGUACAUUUACAUCUCAUAUAAAGGAAAAUUAACCACAAUAUUUAAGUACUACAUUUUUUAUGAAAUCAAAUUAAUAUAAAUGGAUAACACAUUAGUGUCAUUGUUUCAAAUGACUGAAGACAAUAUAAACGACAUAUAAUAACUAUUUAGGAAAAAUUAUUAAUGUUUUUACCAAACUAUGUCAUUUAGAUUUUUCAUACCAAAAUUAGAACAUAAGAAAUAAAAUUAAAAUUAAUCAUAUUUAAAGUGUUUAUUACAAGUAAAUCGAAUGAACUAUAUAAUUUUACUAUUUUGCCCUUAUAAACAUAAUGUCAGCAGAGAUUAAAAAAAAUCCUAUUUAAAUAGAAUUAAAAAUGAUAAAAAAAUUAUAUUUGUAACAUUUGUAAUUUUAAAAAAAUCAUUAAUUUAAAUUAUCGAGUUAAUUUAAAAUAUAUAUAUAUUUUUUGUAAUUAUAGUUUUGAAGAUCCCAUGAUUUUUAUAUUACUACUUUUAAUUUAUUUUCUUUGAUUUUUUAUCUUAAAUUUCAUCCAAACUUGUUUUUAUCCAUAUUUUCAUGUUUUCCAUUAUAUCUCUUUUUAAGGUGAUUUUCAUCAAAUUUGUGUUCCAUUAUAUUCUCUUUUCAAUUUUAAUGUGUUUUGAUACCUCGUUGCAUAACAAAAGAUUUUGUCAAUUUUUAUCUACAAAGCUUUAUACAAAAGAUAUCAUGUAUGAGGAAUAAAAUAGAAGAGAAAAUUAUGAUAUAAUUACAUGCACAUAUCUUAAUAUGAAACAUUUGCUCGACUUGAUAACAUCAUGUUUUAAUGAUUUAAACCAUGUUAAGUUUACAUCUAUUUCAGAUUUAAAAGGGUAUUUGUAGACCCUCGUUUUGGUCUAUAGGUAAGGGUAUUUUAGGGAGCAUUCUUUACCACCUUUUGGGAUUUUUGGCAACACAUGUGUUGGAAAUCAAGCCAGCAUCCUCUGUUUACUUCCCUAAUUAGUGUAAUGUACAGCCUUUAUUAUAAUUGAUUUAGGAGUAAUUCUAGCAAGGUAGUUUAUUCACUUUCCAUGUAAGAGUAGUUUAUUCACUUCCCAUGUAAGAGUUUAUUCACUUUCCAUGUAAGGGAAAUUCCAUUCCGGAAUUGUCUCAUAUCUGUAGGCUAUUUAUUUAUGUUUUCAUUCAUUGUAAAGGGUGAGAUCACAGAAUGAAUUGAGGUGUUCCUCCAUAGUUUGUCUUCAAAUUCUUCAUAUUUUUCUUCAAAUUCUUCAUGGUAUCAGAGCAGGUUUAAUCCUGUCUCAUCGUCUUCAUCUUUAGUCAGUUUUUUUUUUUACUCAAUUCUAUUCUUCUAAUUUAUGCCUAAAUACGGUCCAGCCUUUGGAAUGGCUACCAACUCAUCAUCCUCUACUUCUGAUAUUAUCAUCUCAUCGUCUUCAUCCUCUCAUCAGAUGGAAACCUCUCAUCUUCCAAUCACAGCCCAUAAACUGAAUGGGCAAAAUUAUUUGCAAUGGUCUCAGUCCAUAUUAAUGUUUAUACGGGGAAAGGAGAAAGAUGACUACAUCACCGGAGCUUCGGCGGCACCAGAAACCACAGCAUCAACCUACAAAAAGUGGAUAGCAGAAAAUAAUAUGGUCAUGUCCUGGCUAGUCAACUCUAUGACCGCUGACAUUGGUGAAAAUUUUCUGUCAUUUGAUACUGCCAAAGAAAUCUGGGACACUGCAAAAGAAACUUUCUCAGACAAGGAAAACACAUCUGAAAUCAUCCAGAUUGAAGGCAUCCUCCACGAUUUGCGUCAAGGAAACCUUACGGUAACUGAAUAUUUCAAUACUCUUACUCGUCUAUGGCGUCAACUUGAUACGUUUGAGGUUCAUAACUGGAAUUGUGUUACAGAUGGUUUUUUGUAUAAAAAGAUUGUCGAAGGAAAACGUGUGUUUAAAUUUUUGUUAGGUUUGAACAAAAAUCUUGAUGAAAUCAGAGGAAGAAUCAUGGGAGUAAAACCCCUACCUAGCCUCAAAGAGGCAUUCUCUGAAGUCUGUCACGAAGAAAGUCGGAAAAAUCUCAUGAUGGGAUCCCAUCAACAACUGAAUAUGGCAGAAAGCUCGGCUCUUAAGACUCAAUUCGCUCCUUUUGACAACCGUCAAAAAAUUAAAGGAGGUAGACCUUGGUGUGAUCAUUGCAGAAAGUCGGGACACUCAAGAGAAACUUGCUGGAAGAUUCAUGGAAAGCCAGUAGAUUGGAAGCCACGUCAACCACUUGAGAAAGAAGGACGAGGCAAUCAUGUGGCUACCAAUGAACAAUCGCCACAACCUGAAGCUAGCCCUUUUAAUAAGGAGCAAAUGGAGAUGCUUCAGAAACUACUAUCUCCUCUUUUGUCAGUACAGUCACAAACUGGCUCAUCUUCCAACCAGGUCAUUGGUUCAGGAACCUUGGCUCACAAAGGUAAUUUUUUGAGUGCCUUCACUGCUGGUAAGAAACGUAAAAAACCUUGGAUAGUGGACUCAAGAGCAUCUGAUCAUAUGACGAGAGAUGCGACAAUUUUUGAUACAUAUAGCUCAUGUCCAAAUAAUUUAACAGUCCGAAUAGCAGAUGGUUCACUAUCAAAGGUUGUCGGAACAGGUUCAGUUGUGCUAUCAAGGGAUCUUACUCUCAACUCUGUUCUCCUUGUUCCUAACUUGGACUGUAAUCUAUUGUCAAUUAGUAAACUCACUAAGGAAAAGAGGUGUAUUACUAAUUUUUCCUCCACUCACUGUGAAUUUCAGGAUUUGGAUUCGGAGAAGACGAUUGGCAAUGCUGAGGAAUGCUCUGGACUCUACAUCNNNNNNNNNNNNNNNNNNNNNNNNNNNNNNNNNNNNNNNNNNNNNNNNNNNNNNNNNNNNNNNNNNNNNNNNNNNNNNNNNNNNNNNNNNNNNNNNNNNNAAAUCUUUCGACUACUCAUCUCAUCUCCACCGUCCCACCCAAAAUUUUCGGGUGCUCUGUCUUUGUUCAUAUCAAUCAACAACAUAGAAGUAAACUUGAUCCUAGGUCACUCAAGUGCAUCUUUCUUGGGUAUUCUUCAAAUCAAAAAGGGUAUAAGUGUUACUCUCCGGUCACAAGAAAAUUCUACAAUUCAAUGGAUGUCACCUUUUUUGAAACCCAGCCUUACUAUCUCAAAAACGAUAUUCAGGGGGAGAAUUCAACUCAGGAAUAUCAAUUUUGGGAUCUUGAGUCAUUCAGUGAGUCACCCAUCACCACUGAAAAUCACAUUCCUCCAGAGUCAUUUAAUCAACCCAAGUCCAUUGUUGACUUGUGGGAUAAGGAGUACAUCCAAGAGGAAACGGAGGAAAGAGCACUUUCUCAACAAACCCAUGAGGUAGAACCGGGUCCUAAUCCAAGCAAACUUCCAGGUAACAACGCUCCUGAUGGUACUGUUGAUUCCGAGUUAGAAAAUGAUAUUCUUAAUAUGCCCAUAGCUUGGAGGAAAGGAGUUAGAUCAUGCACUCAGCAUCCCAUUGGAAAUUUUAUUUCUUAUGAUAAGCUAUCACCUACGUUUCGUGCAUUCACUUCUAACAUCACAGAGAUACAAGUUCCUCAGAAUAUUCAGGAAGCUUUCAAGUAUCCUAAGUGGAAGGCGGCAGUCGAUGAGGAAGUUCGGGCGCUGGAAAAGAAUGGUACGUGGGAAAUUACUGACCUCCCAAGAGGUAAGAAACCAGUUGGGUGUAAGUGGAUUUUCACAGUAAAGUACAAGGCAGAUGGUAAUGUGGACAGGUAUAAGGCUCGGUUGGUCGCCAAAGGAUUCACCCAAUCCUAUGGCAUUGACUAUCAAGAAACUUUUGCUCUAGUUGCCAAGCUCAAUACUGUUCGUGUACUUUUAUCCUUGGCAGCUAAUCUCGAUUGGUCGCUUCACCAACUUGAUGUGAAGAAUGCCUUCCUCAAUGGUGACUUAGAGGAAGAAGUUUACAUGGACAUUCCUGCUGGACUUGAGACGACAUCAAAUUUCAACAAGGUUUGCAGACUCCGAAAAUCCUUGUAUGGUCUCAAACAAUCUCCCAGGGCCUAGUUUGAACGGUUCACUAAGGUAGUGAAAGGGUACAGAUUCGUUCAAUGUCAAUCCGAUCACACAUUAUUUGUGAAACACUUCCCAGAAGGGAAACUGGCAAUUAUCAUUGUAUAUGUGGACGACAUAAUUUUGACAGGUGAUCAUGAAGAGAAAAUUGACUUACUUAAAAAAUUACUGACAAAGGAAUUUGAGAUCAAAGAUCUUGGAAACCUCAAGUACUUUCUCGGAAUGGAGAUUGCUAGGUCAAAGAAAGGUAUAGCAGUCUCACAACGCAAAUACGUUCUGGACUUAUUGAAUGAAACAGGAAUGCUAGGAUGCAAGCCGGUAGAAACACCUAUGGAUACAACUGUCAAACUGGAAGAAAGUGAUGGAAGUGCGCCAGUUGAUAAAGGAAGAUAUCAACGUCUUGUGGGGAAACUCAUCUAUCUUUCUCAUACAAGGCCAGACAUCGACUUCUCCGUUAGUGUGGUAAGUCAAUUCAUGAAUAAUCCAACCGAAAAACACAUGACUGCUGUGAUCAGAAUAUUGAGAUACCUCAAGAUGACACCGGGAAAGAGUCUCUUCUUUCAAAGAACAACAAAGAAAGAGAUUGAGAUUUUUUCAGAUGCAGAUUGGGCAGGUUCAGUGACUGAUCGGAGAUCAACUUCAGGCUAUUGUUCAUUUGUCUGGGGGAACUUGGUUACAUGGCGAAGCAAGAAACAGUCAGUGGUAGCCCGUAGCAAUGCUGAGGCAGAAUUUCGUGCUAUGGCACAAGGUAUCUGCGAGGGAAUCUGGUUGAACAGGCUGUUAGAAGAAUUACGGGUUCCAUUGAAGCAUCCCAUGGUGUUAUACUGCGACAAUCAAGCUGCCAUCAGUAUCGCUAAGAAUCCGGUUCAUCAUGAUCGAACUAAGCACGUGGAGAUAGAUCGACACUUUAUCAAGGAAAAAAUUGAAGAAGGAGUUUUCAAAGUCAGCUACACUCCGACAAACUGUCAAACGACUGACAUUCUCACAAAAGCUCUUGCUCGAGUUAACUUCGAAGAUCUGACAGAAAAACUUGGAAUGAUCAACAUCUACAACGCGGCUUGAGGGGGAGUGUUGGAAAUCAAGCCAACAUCCUCUGUUUACUUCCCUAAUUAGUGUAAUGUACAGCCUUUAUUAUAAUUGAUUUAGGAGUAAUUCUAGCAAGGUAGUUUAUUCACUUUCCAUGUAAGAGUAGUUUAUUCACUUCCCAUGUAAGAGUUUAUUCACUUUCCAUGUAAGGGAAAUUCCAUUCCGGAAUUGUCUCAUAUCUGUAGGCUAUUUAUUUAUGCUUUCAUUCAUUGUAAAUGGUGAGAUCACAGAAUGAAUUGAGGUGUUCCUCCAUAGUUUGUCUUCAAAUUCUUCAUAUUUUUCUUCAAAUUCUUCAACAUGCAUGAGGGAGUAGGCUGGUAGUGAGAUUUUAUGGAGGAAUCAGAGAGCAGCACGUGGAUAGGAAUAUUCUAGCUGUUAGAGGGGAGCGUAUUCUGGCCGUUAGGGAGGAGGAUGUUUUUUGCUCGCUUGGGGAAAAAGUUUUGGGGAUUUAUUGGACAGAGAGGGGGAAUGUUUUUGGUGGCUGCAGCAAAGAAGAGGGACACAUUUUUUUAGUUACAAACAAAGAGGGGCGGUAUCUUGGAGAAGAAGCCAUUUUUUUAGGGAGGUAUUCUGAGGAGGAAAGAAAAUCAGCUGGGCAGAGGGGGUGAGCAGUCUUGGAGAGAUCCAGAGGAACAGAGGGGGAGCGUAUUUUUCAGUUGGGCAAAAGAGAGAGGAGUCUUCGAGGUGAGAAAUUUUCUCUUCUUAUAUCUGCUUCUAGAUGCCAAUCUUCUCUGCUAAAAAUUCAUAAUGGGUGAGGAGAAGGUUCAUGUCAACAUUGUGAAAUGGGAUUUUGAUGUAUUCAAAUGGGUCAAUUCUCUUUUGGAUGAUUUUAAAUCAAGUGUUGGUCAAUUAUUGAAUCUUCUUAUCAGAAUUUGAACUUACAAUCUCUAUUUCUCUCAUUUUUGUUGAAAUUUGGGGAGGUUUUGUGUGUGUGUUUUUUUUAUUGGAAAAAAUGAAGAAUUGUGAUGGGUUAAAUUCAAAUUUCCUUAAGGAUAUGUCUUUACAUGAUGUGAGAUUGGACUCGGAUUCUUUUUAUGGAUAUGGGUUUGGUGCCCCCAUGUAUGGCUGCACUGGUUAUGGGACUCUUAAUGGUUAUGGUGGAGCUACUGCUACUGGGUAUACUGGUUAUGGUGGUAAUGGGUAUGGAAAAUGGGUUUGUGGUGUUUUAUAUAUAUAUUUGUUUAUUCCUUAAGGAUAUUCCUGUACACGUUUGGCCAAUGAUGUUAAGGCAUAUGUCUUUUGUUUUAUUAUUUUCUUAUUUUUCUUCAACUUUUAAUGCCAAAAAUUUAAUUUUCAAAAUUUUGAUCUUAACAUAAUUUUCCAAAACUCCAAUUCUUAAAUUUAAUUUUCAAAACUCUAAUUCUCAAAUAAUUUUCGAAAUUCCAAUUUUUUUCAAAUUUAAUUUUCAAAAUUUCAAUUCUUAAAUUUAAUUUUCAAAACUCCAAUUUUCAAAUAAUUUUCAAGACUUCAAUUUUAAAUUUUCAGUUUUUCAAAUAAUUUUAAUUUCACUCCAAUUUUCAAAAUUUUUUUUUUUUAUUCUACUACUUUACAUCAUUCAUUAGGGUUUUAAGUCACUAAAAAUCUCGUUUUAAAUAAACUUGCUACCUUUCCUUUCAGGUAAACACUUUCACAAAUUUUAUUUGAUUUUAAAAUGAUUUUCACAUCUUGCUUGAUUUUUAAAGUGUUUUAAAAUAAGCAUGAAUUUAAUUUUGUAAUUCCAAAUGAUGGAAUUUAUGAAAUGGAUUAAUGCUAAAAUAAAUCAAGCUUUGGUGGGAGCCCCACAUAUGAGAUUUUCUAAUUGACUGAUUGAUUGUCAUGCUUGCUUGAUUUACUUUGUAAUACAUGCGAUUAUUUCGUGUUCGUUUGCUAACAUUCGCUUUCCUUGAAGCAAUUAGCUCAUUACUCAAGUACACUCUUUGCCUCUUUUAUUCAUUCGAUUCUUCCUAGAUUGAUAUUCAUUUUGAUAUCUCUUGAUCUACUAAUUAAUUGUCAUGUAUGUUUCAUCCUAUUUAGUAGAGACCCGUUUUAGGGACUUAGAGGGGUGCUACGGUCUUUACCGUACAUUCCCAAUAAGUAACUUGACCCCUGAGCCCAGAUUCGUUUUUUCGCAGACCAUAUUUUCUAAAUAAGAAGUCACACUUAGAGUUUUCUUUCUUAUUUUGUUUACCCUUUAAAAAUAAAACAAGAAUAAGUGGCGACUCCAAGUCAUCUUCUAAAAAAUAAAUCAUUUUUCAAAAUAAAAAGCAAGUUCGUCAUCAAAUGGAAGUCCAUGAGCAGAAAUAUGGGGUCCACAGUAUUUUAAUAUUUUUCAAAUUAUUAAACUAUAAUACAUUAUUAAAUUAAAAAUUAAUUAUCACCAUUAGUUAAAAGAUGGUCAUAUUACAAAAUAAUAUAUUAAGACAAUGUCUAUGUAUUGUCCAUAAAAUAGAGAAAAUAUUCAAAUAAUUGUCUAUAACCUUAAAGAUAUUUAUAUAAAAAAUGGCUUUUAUAUAUACACAUAUAUAUUAGAUAAAAAAUAAUAAUAAUAUUUUUUUAAGGUUUUUAAAAAAUAUUUAUAAAAAAAAUAUUUACUUAAAAAAUGUAGUAAUAAUCGCUUUUAACCAUUGGUAUGAGAGAGAAGCGGAAACUGUUUUUUUUUUUUUUUGACAGCGAAGGGCAUUUCAGGAAAAUUUAAAAGGUAAUGUUCUUUAAUUCAGUUUUCAUUCAUCCAUUAGGUCUUGGGCUUAAAUAUAAGGGAUAUAAGGAUCUUGGGUCAAUUUUUAAGUAAAGCAUGAUUCUCCCUACAUUCUUCUAUCACUAAAAAGGGAUGACAUCUUUAGACUCCCAUUGACUCACAAUAAUGCACAUCCGUGUGAAGACUAUGAUAAAUCAUUGACAAUCAAGUUAUUCAGAACAUUGUUUAAACUCUAACAAGAAAAUAGAGAUGAUGACCGAUGACCUUGAUUCCCUUGUAAGUAAGAGAUGAUGACCGUGAUAAUAUCAGAAGUGAGGAAAAUUAAAGAGAAAAGAGUUAUCACUAUGAUAUUCUAAAGGAUUGUCAUGCAAGUAAGGACAAAAAAUCGUCUUUUUUGGACAACAAACCCUCAUUUGAACCACAUAAAAUUAGAAUAGUUAAUUGUUCUCUAUAAAAUGUCUUGUAAUAUCCAACUCCCGACUUUCAUAACACUAAAUAAAAUAAUAAGAAUGUGUUUGAUAGUAAUUUUAUUGAAAAUAUUUUUAGUGAAAGUGUUUUAGUGUGCAUUUGAUAACGAUUAUAGAAAGUGUUUUUAGCUUUUUUUUAAUACUUAAAAAAUAAAAAUUUUAAAUCACUAUCAAAUACACUUUUAAUUUCUCUAAAAAUGUUUUUGGGAGAAUCAUUGAUCCAUUGCUUCUUUAGAAAAUACUGCAAGUGAUUUUUUAACUUUUUGAAAGUAUUUCUAAAUUUUAUAAAACAUGUGGUUUUCUUUAAAAAUGUUUUUUUUUUAUAUUAAAAACUUUGUAAAAUAGACUAUAAACAAUCAUCCUUUGCCAUAAAAUAGUUUUAGAAGUGUUUUUUUCAACUGAUAUUAUAUAUUAAGAUCCUACGUAAACAACCAAUAUUAGUAUAUCAAAAGCCAUCAUCUUCUUUUAUAUAUAUAGACUAGAUUCAUAAGCCUAUGACAUGAAGCUCAUGAUCAUAGUUUAUUAUACAUACAAGGCCCUUCCUAGGACUUCAAUAUUGAGUUCAAACAUCAGGGUCCGGUUUGUCCACUCCAUCCACAGUCCUCAACCAGUAAGUCUGGCCAAAGCAAGCUGCACCAUCCGGGACAUCGUCCAUCAUAUGGUCAUGCCCUUUGGGGAAGUAUAUCCCAGUCCGAGGGUGCGGCACCCAGC
rnacentral:lncRNA from 1 species